UUUUUUCUUUUUCUUUUUCUUUUUUGAAUUUAGGGACCACUCCUUCAUGAGACGUAACUUUAACUUAUGCUGAAAACUAUACCUAGGUCAUGAGUCUUAGGGGAAACCUCACUACUAUUGUUCUGCUGAACAAUAGUCACAAAGAUGGCUUCUAGUGACCUAUUGCUUUACGUAUAAACUAACACAUCACUCAACCCUAGUCAAAGAACUUAAUUCUUGCAGUAAAUAUUAGCACAGAGUCUUACAAAUGAAUAACAUGCAGACAGUGAGAAACUUUAGAAAACUCAGUCCUAAAUGGGAUGUCUUAUCGAACCCUUCCUUUUAAGGCUCAGGCAUCUAUGCUGAAAGGGAGGUAAAAAGUCUUUAAGACCCAGAGGCAGUGGAUAACUUCAAGGAAAUAGCAUCUUUCAGAUGCACCAGGUCUGGUGCACACAUGAGCUCAUAGAGACUGUGACAGUACACACAAAAUGUUCACAAGUUCAAACCAGAUCAAAAUGCUAACACAGAGAACAGGAAGUGGUUACAAAGUCACAUCCUUAACCAAAAAUCUGUUUAUAGAUGAUUCCUGAUAAGAAAGAGAAAAAGUGGCAGGUCUCAUUCUCAGAAGUAGUUGGCCAACACACAUGUGCACACACACACACACACACACACACACACACACACACACACUUUGUUUUUCACAAACACUUUUUGUGUGUGUCUGUUUUAUAUGAUUUGGUAAUGGUUGUCUUUUCAGUUUUUGUUUCAUUGGGUUUGAGGAAGGUUGGAAGAAGCCAUGAAGGUGAGUGGCUACAGGGAGAUAAAGGUCUUAGAGAAGGAGAAAGAAUACGAUCAAAAUAUAUUGUAUGAAAAAGUUUUGAUAAAAAGAUACUACAGAAGAAGCCCCAACAACACCUUAGAACAAAAAUGUCAUGAAAGAAAGGAUUAUAGAAUAUAUCAAUGAUCAAGAUAAGAAUAUAAAGUUUUUAUAAUUUUGAAUAUAUAUAAUAUGCAGAUAUGUAAGUAUAUGCAUAUAUGCAGAUCAGAAAAAACAGGCUAUAUAGAAAUAAAUAUUGAUUUAUGUAAAUUUAAAUUUUAAAUAACAUUUUAUUUACUCCUUUAACAAUUUCAUAAAUAUAUAUAAUAUUUUCCUUAUUGAUCUAGAAAAAAUAAAAAUAGAAAAUUGGUAAGAUGUUAUGAAACAAGUCACACAAAAAAGAAAUGAAAUGGUCAUUUGUAAUAUGGAAAGAAUAUUUCCAAG
rnacentral:lncRNA from 1 species